GUUUUAGAGAUUCCCCAUUUUAGCAUUCCGGGUUUUAGAGAUUCCGGCUUUUAGUAUUCCGGGUUUUAGAGAUUCCCCAUUUUAGUAUUCCGGGUUUUAGAGAUUCCCCAUUUUAGUAUUUCGGGUUUUAGAGAUUCCGGCUUUUAGUAUUCCGGGUUUUAGAGAUUCCCCAUUUUAGUAUUCCGGGUUUUAGAAAUUCCCCAUUUUAGUAUUCCGGGUUUUAG